CGAAGGGGGGCUAGCGUUGUUCGGAAUCACUGGGCGUAAAGGGCGCGUAGGCGGCUUUUAUAAGUCGGGGGGUGAAAGCCUGUGGCUCAACCACAGAAUAGCCUUCGAUACUGUAUGGCUUGAGACCGGAAGAGGUAAGUGGAACUGCGAGUGUAGAGGUGAAAUUCGUAGAUAUUCGCAAGAACACCAGUGGCGAAGGCGGCUUACUGGUCCGGUUCUGACGCUGAGGCGCGAAAAGCGUGGGGAGCAAACAGGAUU
rnacentral:rRNA from 1 species